CUUAAAAAUGAAAUACAGCGUAAAUUCCAAACUAUUCCUAACUUUGGUGUAUUCGCAUACCAUUCACUACAAAUGGGAAUACACAAUUAUAGUGACAAAAUACAACAUCUGUUUUACAAUAAAAUGUCAAUCAUACUGUCCAAAAUCGAUCAGAAUAUAACUAGUGUAUGGAUUGCACUUUAUGAACCAUUAUACUUAUAUACUCAUACAU
rnacentral:lncRNA from 1 species